rnacentral:rRNA from 1 species
AGCGAACGCUGGCGGCAGGCUUAACACAUGCAAGUCGAGCGGUCGUAGCAAUACGGCAGCGGCAGACGGGAGAGUAACACGUGGGAACGUGCCCUUCGGUUCGGAACAACCCAGGGAAACUUGGGCUAAUACCGGAUACGCCCUUACGGGGAAAGAUUUAUCGCCGAAGGAUCGGCCCGCGUUAGAUUAGCUAGUUGGUGAGGUAAAGGCUCACCAAGGCUACGAUCUAUAGCUGGUCUGAGAGGAUGAUCAGCCACACUGGGACUGAGACACGGCCCAGACUCCUACGGGAGGCAGCAGUGGGGAAUCUUGCGCAAUGGGCGAAAGCCUGACGCAGCCAUGCCGCGUGAAUGAUGAAGGUCUUAGGAUUGUAAAAUUCUUUUACCAGGGACGAUAAUGACGGUACCUGGAGAAAAAGCCCCGGCUAACUUCGUGCCAGCCGCCGCCGUAACAC